UUUCUUCUUUCUAAUUCUUAAAUUAAAUCUAAUACCAUUGAGAGAGAAGAUAUUUUGGCAGAAGGAAUGUGCUUGCAAGGAAAGACCAUGGAAUGCAGUGAAGCAGUGAUUGACAGAAAAGAACCUGCUUGGAUUCUUAGAAUAUUGGAGAAGGGGGUUGGUCUGGAGGUCAACUGCCAACUUAGGGAGAGUUGCUCUUGAAUUCUAAGGAGAGAGGAAACUCUGAAAUCCUCACUGGAGCCUUUGGAAGCAAAAUCUCACUCCUGCCAAGGAUUUCCCUAUUGUACUUGAGAUCUACAGAGCCAUGAAAUCUUUCCUGUCACUAGAAGAACAAAAUCAGCAAGGGAACAGAGUUGAACUGCUGAGUUUACCAUCAGAGGUGUUUUUUUUUUCCCCUGAGCUAUCCUCAAAAAUUAAAAGAAACAUGAAAAUUGGUCCCAAGAACUGGAAUAACUCAGAAAGGCAUUCAAAAAUCAUGAGAAGAUGAAGAAAAAUUGGAAGAAAUGGAGAAAAUAUAUGAAGAUAACAGCUUAAAAAGCAAAAUUGGGCAGCGGAAAAAGAGGCAAAUAAAUCCCAUGAAAGAAAUAGUUUUGUUUUGUUU
rnacentral:lncRNA from 1 species